GAUACUUCAUAAUAAAGAGCAGUACUUUUUUUUGUUAAAAAGCAUUUAAAUUCUUGUGUAACGGCGAACCUUGUUCCAACACAUAUACAAAACCCCAUUUUACAAUUAUUUGCCAAUUGCGUUGACUAGAUGAAAUCUUGAUUGUUAACCAAACAAAUCAACACCCAUUAAUAUUGCAUUGCGUUUUGGCAAAUACAUGUAUUUUGUUUCUUAUUUUGUAUUUUGAGAAAGCUGGAUGUCCGUGGCCAUUUUAAGACUGUAUUGGCCUCCUUUAACAGAAGAGCUUUUUAUGAAGAUACAGAAAUUAUAUUAAUUUUAAAGCUGAAAUAUAUGGAGUUUUUUUUCUUUUCUUGAUGAAAGUUUAUAGCUCAACAAGUCCUAUUCAAAAAUCUAUAGGUAGAUCGGAGGUAAUUUGUUGACGCACCCAGCCUCCUUAAAGGAGAAAAAAGAUAAAGUACAGUACCGUUCUCAUGACGCAUUCAUGUUUCUCCAUUAUUUGAUAGUUCAUGCAAGCAUAGGGAUUUUUCAAGAUUCAUCUCUUUACUGUUUUUUUAAAUUUUCAUGCUUAUGUUUGAUGAAGGUGUACUGUCAAGGUAAAUCCAAUGGAAUCUUCUGUGAUUAUGUGUGUUAAUAAUACAUACAUUUUGUUUAAUAAAAUUGAAUACGAUCAAAU
rnacentral:misc_RNA from 1 species